UACGUAGGGUGCGAGCGUUAAUCGGAAUUACUGGGCGUAAAGCGUGCGCAGGCGGUUAUGUAAGACAGAUGUGAAAUCCCCGGGCUCAACCUGGGAACUGCAUUAGUGACUGCAUAGCUGGAGUACGGCAGAGGGGGAUGGAAUUCCGCGUGUAGCAGUGAAAUGCGUAGAUAUGCGGAGGAACACCGAUGGCGAAGGCAAUCCCCUGGGCCUGUACUGACGCUCAUGCACGAAAGCGUGGGGAGCAAACAGGAUUAGAUACC
rnacentral:rRNA from 1 species